CAUUACAGGAGUUCCAUGUUGAAUAAUAUGUUAUAACCUUUUGACAGGAAGACGACAGGUUUGGUAUUGUUCCAUGUUGAAUAAUAUGUUAUAGCCUUUUGAUUGGACGAUGACAGGUUUGGUAUUGUUCCAUGUUGAGUAGUAGGUUAUAGCCUUUUGACAGGAAGACGACAGGUUUGGUAUUGUUCCAUGUUGAGUAGUAUGUUAUAGCCUUUUGAUUGGACGAUGACAGGUUUGGUAUUGUUCCAUGUUGAGUAGUAGGUUAUAGCCUUUUGACAGGAAGACGACAGGUUUGGUAUUGUUCCAUGUUGAGUAGUAUGUUAUAGCCUUUUGAUUGGACGA